UAGUCCACGCCGUAAACGAUGAUAACUAGCUGUCCGGGCUCAUAGAGCUUGGGUGGCGCAGCUAACGCAUUAAGUUAUCCGCCUGGGGAGUACGGUCGCAAGAUUAAAACUCAAAGGAAUUGACGGGGGCCUGCACAAGCGGUGGAGCAUGUGGUUUAAUUCGAAGCAACGCGCAGAACCUUACCAGCCUUUGACAUCCUUCGACGGUUACCAGAGAUGGUUUCCUCCCUUCGGGGCGAAGUGACAGGUGCUGCAUGGCUGUCGCCAGCUCGUGUCGUGAGAUGUUGGGUUAAGUCCCGCAACGAGCGCAACCCUCAUCCCUAGUUGCCAUCAUUUAGUUGGGCACUUUAGGGAAACUGCCGGUGAUAAGCCGGAGGAAGGUGGGGAUGACGUCAAGUCCUCAUGGCCCUUACAGGCUGGGCUACACACGUGCUACAAUGGCAUCUACAGUGGGCAGCUAUCACGCGAGUGUGAGCUAAUCUCCAAAAGAU
rnacentral:rRNA from 1 species